rnacentral:rRNA from 1 species
GUCCGUAGGCGGCUUAAUAAGUCAGUGGUGAAAUCCCUACGCUUAACGUAGGAACGGCCAUUGAUACUGUUAGGCUUGAAUUAUUAGGAAGUAACUAGAAUAUGUAGUGUAGCGGUGAAAUGCUUAGAGAUUACAUGGAAUACCAAUUGCGAAGGCAGGUUACUACUAAUUGAUUGACGCUGAUGGACGAAAGCGUGGGUAGCGAACAGGAUUAGAUACCCUGGUAGUCCACGCCGUAAACGAUGGAUACUAGCUGUUGGGAGCAAUCUCAGUGGCUAAGCGAAAGUGAUAAGUAUCCCACCUGGGGAGUACGAACGCAAGUUUGAAACUCAAAGGAAUUGACGGGGGCCCGCACAAGCGGUGGAGCAUGUGGUUUAAUUCGAUGAUACGCGAGGAACCUUACCAAGGCUUAAAUGUAGUUUGACCGAUUUGGAAACAGAUCUUUCGCAAGACAAAUUACAAGGUGCUGCAUGGUUGUCGUCAGCUCGUGCCGUGAGGUGUCAGGUUAAGUCCUAUAACGAGCGCAACCCCUGUUGUUAGUUGCCAGCGAGUCAAGUCGGGAACUCUAACAAGACUGCCAGUGCAAACUGUGAGGAAGGUGGGGAUGACGUCAAAUCAUCACGGCCCUUACGCCUUGGGCUACACACGUGCUACAAUGGACGGUACAGAGAGCAGCCACUGGGUGACCAGGAGCG